rnacentral:rRNA from 1 species
UACGUAGGGUGCAAGCGUUAAUCGGAAUUACUGGGCGUAAAGUGUGCGCAGGCGGCCGCGCAAGUCGAGUGUGAAAGCCCCGAGCUUAACUUGGGAACUGCGCUCGAAACUACGUGGCUGGAGUGUGGCAGAGGAAGGUGGAAUUCCAGGUGUAGCGGUGAAAUGCGUAGAGAUCUGGAGGAACACCGAUGGCGAAGGCAGCCUUCUGGGCCAACACUGACGCUCAUGCACG